rnacentral:rRNA from 1 species
UACGUAGGGGGCAAGCGUUAUCCGGAAUCAUUGGGCGUAAAGCGCGUGUAGGCGGUUCCGUAAGUCCGCUCUGAAAGCCCAGGGCUCAACCCUGGGAGGCGGGUGGAUACUACGGAACUGGAGUACGGAAGAGGAGAUUGGAAUUCCUGGUGUAGCGGUGAAAUGCGCAGAUAUCAGGAGGAACACCAAUAGCGAAGGCAGCUCGCUGGGACGUUACUGACACUGAGGCGCGAAAGCGUGGGGAGCAAACAGG